UACGGAGGGUGCAAGCGUUAUCCGGAUUCACUGGGUUUAAAGGGUGCGUAGGUGGGUUGGUAAGUCAGUGGUGAAAUCUCCGAGCUUAACUCGGAAACUGCCAUUGAUACUAUCAAUCUUGAAUCAUCUGGAGGUAAGCGGAAUAUGUCAUGUAGCGGUGAAAUGCUUAGAUAUGACAUAGAACACCAAUUGCGAAGGCAGCUUACUACGGGUGUAUUGACACUGAGGCACGAAAGCGUGGGGAGCGAACAGG
rnacentral:rRNA from 1 species